GAGCCACGCAUUUUAAAGCGUUCAAGUUUGGAUGUCACCAUCAGCGAAGACGAAGCGAGACAUUAUUGCACCUCAGUUAUAGAGGAAACGUCAGCAGCAACACUGGGAUUAUUUGAAUUUGCAAGUGAAAAUAUGACAGCCGUAAUUUCUGACUGCACAUUUGAUGUUCAUAUGGGCAAUGAUUACACUUUAUCGAGACCUCACGUUGAAUCCGUAAACAUCGUGGUUCGUUAUAUGCUAGAAAAAGACCC